GAUGAACGCUAGCGGCAGGCCUAACACAUGCAAGUCGAGGGAGAAGCCCUUUCGGGGGCAGAAACCGGCGCACGGGUGCGUAACGCGUAUGCAACCUACCUUUCACAGGGGGAUAGCCCGAAGAAAUUUGGAUUAAUACCCCAUAAUAUUAUUGGAUGGCAUCAUUUGAUAAUUAAAACUGCGGUGGUGAAAGAUGGGCAUGCGUCCUAUUAGCUAGUUGGAGUGGUAACGGCACCCCAAGGCUACGAUAGGUAGGGGUCCUGAGAGGGAGAUCCCCCACACUGGUACUGAGACAGGGACCAGACUCCUACGGGAGGCAGCAGUGAGGAAUAUUGGUCAAUGGUCGGAAGACUGAACCAGCCAUGCCGCGUGCAGGAAGAAUGCCUUAUGGGUUGUAAACUGCUUUUAGAUGGGAAGAAUAAGGCGUACGUGUACGUUGAUGACGGUACCAUAUGAAUAAGCAUCGGCUAACUCCGUG
rnacentral:rRNA from 1 species